UCUGAAAGAAUGGAUAAUUUCUGAACCUGAGAUCAAAAGGGUUCCAUUAACUUCAGAUUGCCAGUUCCUGAUAAUGGCAUCUGAUGGCCUAUGGGAUAAGGUAAAUGAGCAAGAGGCAGUAGAUGUGAUUUUAAAAGACAACAACAAUUCAGUAGAGUCUUGCAAAAAGCUUGUAGAUAUGUCUUUCGGCAGAGGCAAUAUGGAUGAUAUUACUGUUAUGGUGAUAAACCUUCAGAAUUUUGUGACAAAUGGUUGUUGACUAAUGCUGGCGACUCGUUGAAGAAAUUGAAUGCAAAUGGCUUGAUUUGCUGGCCUCCA